GGAAAGGAGAGGAGGUGAGGGAGGAAAGGAGAGGAGGUGAGGGAGGAAAGGAGAGGAGGUGAGGGAGGAAAGGAGAGGAGGUGAGGGAGGAAAGGAGAGGAGGUGAGGAAGGAAAGGAGAGGAGGUGAGGGAGGAAAGGAGAGGAGGUGAGGAAGGAAAGGAGAGGAGGUGAGGGAGGAAAGGAGAGGAGGUGAGGGAGGAAAGGAGAGGAGGUGAGGAAGGAAAGGAGGAUAGCAGUGGAGGUGAGGGAGAGGAGAUUGGGAGAGAAGGAGGGCAAGGGGUAGGUGUCAGAUACAAUUCAAACUAAAUGAUAUUACACAUCACAUGGUGCUCGUAUACACGAUGUGGUCCGAUGAAUACAGGCUGUUUAAACAGGCAGUCAGUUCUGAUCUUUUGACACUAAUUGGUCUUUUUUGUAUUUUUAUUUUGACCAUGUCGGUGUACCAGGUGGUGUACCUAACACUGUCUGUAGGAGCUGACCAUGUCGGUGUACCAGGUGGUGUACCUAACACUGUCUGUAGGAGCUGACCAUGUGGGUGUACCAGGUGGUGUACCUAACACUGUCUGUAGGAGCUGACCAUGUCGGUGUACCAGGUGGUGUACCUAACACUGUCUGUAGGAGCUGACCAUGUCGGUGUACCAGGUGGUGUACCUAACACUGUCUGUAGGAGCUGACCAUGUGGGUGUACCAGGUGGUGUACCUAACACUGUCUGUAGGAGCUGACCAUGUGGGUGUACCAGGUGGUGUACCUAACACUGUCUGUAGGAGCUGACCAUGUCGGUGUACCAGGUGGUGUACCUAACACUGUCUGUAGGAGCUGACCAUGUGGGUGUACCAGGUGGUGUACCUAACACUGUCUGUAGGAGCUGACCAUGUGGGUGUACCAGGUGGUGUACCUAACACUGUCUGUAGGAGCUGACCAUGUCGGUGUACCAGGUGGUGUACCUAACACUGUCUGUAGGAGCUGACCAUGUCGGUGUACCAGGUGGUGUACCUAACACUGUCUGUAGGAGCUGACCAUGUCGGUGUACCAGGUGGUGUACCUAACACUGUCUGUAGGAGCUGACCAUGUCGGUGUACCAGGUGGUGUACCUAACACUGUCUGUAGGAGCUGACCAUGUCGGUGUACCAGGUGGUGUACCUAACACUGUCUGUAUA